CUGAAUGGGCGCCAUUUUUAGUCCGGUAUCCAGCUCUUAUAACACAUCCAUGAGGAAAACCAGGUGAAGCUGCCAUCCUUUGGUUAAAAAUAUAGUAUCUUACUGUGUUUUAUUGUAAUGCCACCGCGAAACUGUGAAUGGUUUCAGUCCGGCGUCACAGCAAACAACAAAAAGUUAAUGUUAUUUAAUAAACAACCGUUGGAGCUAGUUUUACAGUGUUGCUAAAGUAUUAGCCAGCAUUACUGCGUUUUUCUAAGCCAGCUAGCAGCCAUGAAGAGAAGAAAUGAGGACUUCUAUCCACAAACAAAAUGAAAGUCAACAUGGAUAAGAAAGGAGAAUAGACCUGGACCUCAAAUAACAGAUGUUGGUGGAGACCAAACCAGAGCUAAAAGGAGAGUGAAUAUUGGACUUACAUUCUUCAGGCGGCCAGAAACAAGACUCCAAAUGAAGUUUCAGAAGCCAGACUGAAAUUUGUCAAUCGGAGAGUACGUGCUUAACAAGAAUAACACAGAGGGCUACACAUGGAAAUGUCUGCCAAUAAGCUAAUGUGGCCAUUCUGUGGAUAUAUGAGAGCAGAGGAGAGGAGAAUGUGACAGCCACAACAUGGUGAAAGGUCUGCUAACCGUCAUGGCCAUCUGAUAAGAGAGGGUAAGACAGGCUAAUAGCUGGACACAACAAACAUGAAGAUGCACAGCCUAAUGAAUACAACUCCUGGUUUACUGACGUGUAAUCAGUGCGUAGAGAGACGAAGAAAUUGAAUUGGAAGUAUCUGUGCAAAUUUGACACUCUUUAAAGUGUAACUUAAUCUUGUUUUUGCUGACCUCCAGUGGUCUCACCUCUCACCUUGCCGCAGUGAUGUACAAGUGUACUCCAGGACCCCGUGACAUCACUGUCAGGCGUGUUCCAACCACACCCGACCACUUUUCAAUGCUCUCAGAGUUGAAAUCGAGAACGAUUUAAUAAAAAAGACACAAGAACCAGCUAAACCAUCCCAGUUCCGUCUCAACAUAGCAAGGACGUUAUGAUAUUGUGCAUGAUCAUGAUGUAACUGAUAACGGUUUACUUUUCUGAGACCUGUGGAGAGCAGAGAGAGUAUCUGCUGUGGCCUAAUUUGUUUACCUUCCUCUUAAUCUCCUCUCCCUCUCUCCUGCUGCCUCCUUUCACUGUCUGUCCUUGUUUGACUUCAUUGUACCCGAGUCAUCUGUUUUAUCGAGCCUCCUGCUGAGGUAGUGACUGUAGAAAACUGAUCCCAGCAUCCUUUGCUCUGACUUAACACCUGCCUACAUAAGUUUAUUGUAGGCGGUUUUCAAAAAAUAAUUUAAAGUUUCAGGUUCACUAUACACAGUACUGUUUCCUGCCGGUUUACCGUUAACGCUCUGUGGAUAUGUCUUAUGUGGAAAUAAAAGUUUUCUGUCUUCAUGAUGGUGUUAAUUCAUUUUUUUAUGGUUAUAAUUUAUUUUUCUACCCAUUAAAAGAGGAGUUUUUCCUUGCCACUGUCGCCAAUUGCCUGCUCGUGAGGGAACGUUGGG